AGCCCAAUUAAUAUCCGCACAAAACAAUGACGCCCAAGGCAGCAGUAGUCAUUGGUGGGGCUCCAAAAACCGCUCCAGGAACGGGGUCAGGGAACAGCAAAUUCAUAUUUUGACUCCACAAGGCAGCUGUGAUUACAACAACGAGCCUGACUGGGCGUGCUUUAACUCUACAUUUCGACAAUUCUGUAGUAAGAACAAUCUAAAGUAUAUUUUUAACUGCACCAUUGACAGACCGUUCUGUGACUAUGGACUUUGCUGCCGCAAUUCUAAUUGUCUCACAUCAGAAGAAAAAUUGUAAUAUGGAAUGAAAUACAUCGAAAAGGUCUUGCCCAGCUUCAUUACCUAAUUAGUUGCCUGCAGAACAUACAAUAUUUAGAAGUGUAAUAUAUACACAGUAGUUAUUAAUGUAGACGCGUUAAUAAAAAUAUAACUAUUACAAU